rnacentral:rRNA from 1 species
CCUACGGGUGGCAGCAGUGGGGGAUAUUGCACAAUGGGGGGAACCCUGAUGCAGCGAAGCCGCGUGGGUGAAGAAGCGCCUCGGCGCGUAAAGCCCUGUCAGCAGGGAAGAAAAUGACGGUACCUGAAGAAGAAGUCCCGGCUAACGACGUGCCAGCAGCCGCGGUAAUACGUAGGGGGCAAGCGUUAUCCGGAAUGAAUGGGUGGAAAGGGGGCGCAGACGGCGAUGCAAGCCAGGAGUGAAAGCCCGGGGCCCAACCCCGGGACUGCACUUGGAACUGGGGGGCUGGAGUGCAGGAGAGGCAGGCGGAACUCCAGGUGUAGCGGUGAAAUGCGUAGAUAGCAGGAAGAACACCGGUGGCGAAGGCGGCCGGCUGGACUGCAACUGACGUUGAGGCACGAAAGCGUGGGGAGCAAACAGGAUUAGAUACCCUUGUAGUC